GGUCAGGCUACAAAGUGUGUAUAGUGAAUGCCUUGGCGUCAGAAGCCGAUGAAGGACGUGAUCAGCUGCGAUAAGCCGCGGGGAGCUGCAAAUAAGUUAUGAUCCGCGGAUUUCCGAAUCGGGAAACCGAGCAUGGCGAAAGUCAUGCUACCUCGCGAUGAAGACGCCGCCGUCAGGCGGCGGGAUAGUCGCGUGGAGACAACCCGGGGAAGUGAAACAUCUCAGUACCCGGAGGAAAAGAAAUCAACCGAGAUUCCCCCAGUAGUGGCGAGCGAACGGGGAAUAGCCUAAACCCAGGGACUUGUCCCUGGGGGUUGCAGGGCUCAUCCGGUUCAGAACCGAAGAGUUACAAAUCGUCCGAUAGCGGAAUGGUCCUGGAAAGGCCAGCCAUAGAGGGUGCCAGCCCCGUACGCGAAAUCGAGACGACUCUUGAUGAGUUCCUAAGUACCAUCGGGCACGUGAAAUCCGGUGGGAAUCUGGGGAGACCACUCUCCAAGGCUAAAUACUCUCUGACGACCGAUAGUGAACUAGUACCGCGAGGGAAAGGCGAAAAGAACCCCUGACGGGGAGUGAAAAAGAACCUGAAACUGUACACAUACAAGCUUCACGAGGGCUAUGCCCAGGCCGCAAGGCCAGGGAACGCCUGAGUGAGUGCCUGUUGAAGAAUGACCCGGCGAGUUAAUGGGUGGAGCGAGGUUAAGGGCGGCGUGAAAGCGUCGUCCGCAGCCGUAGCGAAAGCGAGUCUGAAAGGGCGUCAGUUCCAUUCAUUAGACCCGAAGCCAAGUGAUCUAACCAUGGCCAGAGUGAAGUUGGAGUAAAAUCCAAUGGAGGCUCGGAGUGUUAAUCGUUGAAAAGAUUCUACAUGAGCUGUGGUUAGGGGUGAAAGGCUAAUCGAACUUGGUGAUAGCUGGUUCUCUCCGAAAUAGCUUUAGGGCUAGCGUCCAACGUUAACCCACGGGGGUAGAGCACUGGUAGAUGUAGCGGAGGCAACCCCUCCUGCGAAGUCUGUCAAACUCCGAAUACCGUGGCGAAGUGUUGGGCAGUCAGUUCGUGGGGGAUAAGCUCCACGUGCAAGAGGGGAACAACCCAGAACGUCGAUCUAGGUCCCAAAGUGUAUGCUAAGUGGAAAACGUUGUGGAUUUGCUUAAACAGCUAGGAGGUUGGCUUAGAAGCAGCCAUCCUUUAAAGAGUGCGUAACAGCUCACUAGUCGAGCGAAUCUGCGCGGAAAAUGACACGGGGCUCAAGCAUACCACCGCAAUCGCGUCUUGCGCCGCGGCCGUAAGGCCGCGGAUGCAGGGGUAGGAGAGCGUUCCUAGCGCUGUGAAGGCAUACCGAAAGGAGUGCCGGAGCGCUAUGAAGUGAGGAUGUCGGGAUAAGUAGCGAUAAACAAGGUGAGAAUCCUUGUCACCGAAAACCUAAGGUUUCCUUGAGCAACGUUCGUCGGCUCAGGGUCAGUCGGUCCUAAGUCGAGGCCGAAAGGCGUAGGCGAUGGGCAUCCGGUUAAUAUUCCGGAACUAGGUGAUAGGCGUCAACGUAAGAAGCGACGCAGGAGGGUAAGCGGUCCCGGGUGAAGGUCGUCCCGGGCCAACGGCGUAGGCAUGCUCUUCCAGGGAAGUCCGGAGGGGCGUUAAGCCGAAACCAGACGGGGAGAUCUGGGAAACCAGGUCGAAGCCGCCUAACCACGCUGCCAAGAAAACCUUCGUACGUUGCCUGUCAUCUAACCGUACCGUAAACCGACACAGGUGGGUGGGCUGAAAAUGCUAAGGUGCGCGAGUGAGACCACGUUAAGGAACUAGGCAAAAUGAUCCCGUAACUUCGGAAGAAGGGAUGCUCCUCGCAAGAGGAGUCGCAGUGAAAUGGGGACCGUGACUGUUUAACAAAAACACAGGACUCUGCUGAAAUCGCAAGAUGAGGUAUAGGGUCUGACACCUGCCCGGUGCUGGAAGGUCAAGGGGAGUGGUUAGCCGCAAGGCGAAGCCACGAACUUAAGCCCCAGUAAACGGCGGCGGUAACUAUAACCGUCCUAAGGUAGCGAAAUUCCUUGUCGGGUAAGUUCCGACCUGCACGAAUGGUGUAACAAAGGUCCCGCUGUCUCAACGUGGUGCUCGGCGAAAUUGUGGUACGAGUGAAGACGCUCGUUACGCGUGGUUAGACGAAAAGACCCCGUGGAGCUUUACUGUAACUUGACAUUGUGUCGCGGUUUUGGAUGCGUAGCAUAGCUGGGAGCCUUUGAAGCGCAGGUUGUGGCCUGCGUGGAGGCGCAACGUGAAAUACCAGCCUUCCGGAACUGCGACCCUAACUGGAUGCCGUCAACCGGCUUCAGGACAGUGUCAGGCUGGCAGUUUGACUGGGGCGGUCGCCUCCCAAAGAGUAACGGAGGCGUUCCAAGGUUCCCUCAGGGCGCAUAGUAAUCGCCCACUGAGUGCAAUGGCAGAAGGGAGCUUGACUGCGAGGCCUACAAGCCGAGCAGGGACGAAAGUCGGACAUAGUGAUCCGGUGGUACCUCGUGGGAGGGCCAUCGCUCAACGGAUAAAAGCUACCCCGGGGAUAACAGGCUGAUCUGGUCCAAGAGUUCAUAUCGACGACCAGGUUUGGCACCUCGAUGUCGGCUCAUCGCAUCCUCCCGCUGGAGCAGGUGGGAAGGGUUGGGCUGUUCGCCCAUUAAAGCGGUACGUGAGCUGGGUUCAGUACGUCGUGAGACAGUACGGUCUCUAUCUACC
rnacentral:rRNA from 1 species